rnacentral:rRNA from 1 species
AUUGAACGCUGGCGGUAGGCCUAACACAUGCAAGUCGAACGCGAAAGUCCUUCGGGAUGAGUAGGGAGGCGGACGGGUGAGUAACGCGUAGGAAUCUAUCCUGUAGUGGGGGAUAACGUUUCGAAAGGAACGCUAAUACCGCAUACGCCCUACGGGGGAAAGCGGGGGAUCUUCGGACCUCGUGCGAGAGGAGGAGCCUGCGUCGGAUUAGCUAGUUGGUGAGGUAAAGGCUCACCAAGGCGACGAUCCGUAGCUGGUCUGAGAGGAUGAUCAGCCACACCGGAACUGAGACACGGUCCGGACUCCUACGGGAGGCAGCAGUGGGGAAUAUUGCGCAAUGGGCGAAAGCCUGACGCAGCCAUACCGCGUGUGUGAAGAAGGCCUUCGGGUUGUAAAGCACUUUCAGUGGGGAGGAAAAGCUGGCGGCUAAUACCCGCCGGCCGUGACGCUACCCACAGAAGAAGCACCGGCUAAUUCCGUGCCAGCCGCCGCCGUAACAC